UACGGGGGGGGCAAGCGUUGUUCGGAAUUACUGGGCGUAAAGGGCUCGUAGGCGGCCAACUAAGUCAGACGUGAAAUCCCCAGGCUUAACCUGGGAACUGCGUCUGAUACUGGAUGGCUUGAAUUCGGGAGAGGGAUGCAGAAUUCCAGGUGUAGCGGUGAAAUGCGCAGAUAUCGGGAAGAACACCGGUGGCGAAGGCGGCUCUCUGGGCCUGUCCUGACGCUCAGGCGCGAAAGCUAGGGGAGCGAACAGG
rnacentral:rRNA from 1 species